AAAGCGUGCGCAGGCGGUUAUAUAAGACAGAUGUGAAAUCCCCGGGCUCAACCUGGGAACUGCAUUUGUGACUGUAUAGCUGGAGUGCGGCAGAGGGGGAUGGAAUUCCGCGUGUAGCAGUGAAAUGCGUAGAUAUGCGGAGGAACACCGAUGGCGAAGGCAAUCCCCUGGGCCUGCACUGACGCUCAUGCACGAAAGCGUGGGGAGCAAACAGGAUUAGAUACCCCUGU
rnacentral:rRNA from 1 species